ACUCCUACGGGAGGCAGCAGUGGGGAAUAUUGCACAAUGGGCGCAAGCCUGAUGCAGCAACGCCGUGUGAGUGAAGAAGGUUUUCGGAUCGUAAAACUCUGUCCUUAAGGGAAGAAACAAAUGACGGUACCUUAGGAGGAAGCCCCGGCUAACUACGUGCCAGCAGCCGCGGUAAUACGUAGGGGGCAAGCGUUAUCCGGAAUCACUGGGCGUAAAAGGGUGCGUAGGCGGUUUUUCAAGUCAGAAGUGAAAAGGCUAUAGGCUCAAACCAUAGUAAGCUUUUGAAACUGUUAAACUUGAGUGCAGGAGAGGAAAGUGGAAUUCCUAGUGUAGAGGUGAAAAUUCGUAGAUAUUAGGAGGAACACCAAGUGGCGAAAGGCGACUUAACUGGACUGUAAACUGAACGCUGAAUGCACGAAAAGCGUGGGGUAAGCG
rnacentral:rRNA from 1 species